UGAGCAAUGAUUGACAAGGGCCGCCAAGAUCCUCAAAGGACUCAUAAUCCGUCGGCCGUGGGUUCGAGUCCCACCCGCCCCACCA
rnacentral:tRNA from 1 species